rnacentral:tRNA from 1 species
AGGGUUGUAGUUAACUAUAACAUUUGGGUUGCAUUCAAAAAGUAUUGAUUUCUAAUCAAUCAACCUUA